rnacentral:rRNA from 1 species
CCUACGGGAGGCAGCAGUGGGGAAUAUUGCACAAUGGGGGAAACCCUGAUGCAGCGACGCCGCGUGAGGGAUGAAGUUUCUCGGAACGUAAAGCCCUAUUAGCAGGGAAGAUAAUGACGGUAUCUGACUAAGAAGCCCCGGCUAACUACGUGCCAGCAGCCGCGGUAAUACGGAGGGGGCAAGCGUUACUCGGAAUUACUGGGCGUAAAGGGAGCGUAGACGGCAGCGCAAGUCUGGUGUGAAAUCCUAGGGCUUAACCACGGAACUGCAUUGGAAACUGGUAGGCUGGAGUGUGGGAGGGGUAAGUGGAAUUCCUGGUGUAGGGGUGAAAUCCGUAGAUAUUAGGAGGAACACUCGUGGCGAAGGCGACUUGCUAGAACAUAACUGACGUUGAGGCGCGAAAGCGUGGGGAGCAAACAGGAUUAGAUACCCUAGUAGUC